UGGAUUCGGCAGCACCCUUUGGGUUUCUCUGACAACUCCCCUACCCAGUAGGGGGCGGGGUCACAUGUACCGGAUGUUGAUACAGUCUGCGGAACAGCUGUGAAAGAACAACAAAGCUGACGCGACAUCGACAUGGGUCAACGACAAAAAGAAGGGGGAAAUACAACGAAGCAGGUUUUAACAUUCGUGUCGACACAGAACUCUGAAAAUCACAGUGAGAAGAAGUUGGGUAUGCGAUGUGUCUUCGACAACAACAUACACGAUGGCUUUGUAUUAUAAGGUUAGCUAUCACACAUUAUAUACAUAAUAGAUUCAUACCAUGCGCUUGCACUGGAGUCGAACACGAUUCCUGUUUAGAUUAAGCCACUGCAGAGUCGGCUCAAGAUAUGGUUCGGAAAACGUACCACAGCCCAGAGCGUGUAGCGACAGAACCGAGGGGGGAGAAUGAAGUGGAAAGGAACGGUUCGGAAAAGAAUGACAAUGGAGCGUAAAUGAGUCUCUCUUUCCUAACGUAGUUAAGCCAAAACCACACCCCGUUAUUGAAGGGCGUUCUACUACGCUCCCAUUGGCUAGCUAGCGUUGUCUCACUCACAGGCGAUCAGCGCAGAGGCAUUCCAAUUUAAGGAUGGAAAGUGUAUUUUAACAAUUGUUAGGGUUGAACUGGCUAUUUGUAUGCAUAACUUAUAUAAUAUACUGGGGACGCUAUGCUACAAUAUUAAGUAUAUGAACUACGGAUAAAUCAACCGUUGAAGACAAGAAGAACUACAACCGGCGACAGGAAGUGCGUCACUAGGCUGAGAGCAGCCUGCACGCCAACGAUAGGAGGAGCAAGUUUAUACCACGCUCCUCCUCCCUCUGACAGGCCAGCAUUGAGCAGGAACUAUCUCUGUCAGAGUAUAAAAGCGAGAACAAUAGGAUGUGUCGUUCUCUUCUCUGUUUUGCCCUGAGAGGUAAAACAGCGAGACCGUUUAUAUACGAACCACACAUAUACCACGCACGGGUUUGCAUUAAUUAAAGUACAGCUAAAUCAGAAGUUACUAUGUGCUGACUAUUUUGUUCUGUUACCAGAAACGAACUGUCGCAGCAUUAACACAAUGCAGGCCUAUUAUUAUCAUGUUUGGUAACGUUUGCCCAUGUUUUUAUAUUCAGAGUUUGAAUGAGUUAUAAAAUGUCUCAACUCUGAAUUCCCGCAAUUGAAGGUCAGCUAAGUUUACCUAGACUACUUAAUCUUAAAGAUCCGACUGAAAUUUCGCGCUACGUGAUAUUCACUUCCGGACUUGGAGAGCGUGCGUCUUUUCCCCCAACACAGUUAAGCCAAAACCACGCCCCAUUAUUCAGAGACAUUCUGCAACGCUAUGAGCGCUCCAAGUCCGGAAGUGAAUAUCACGUAGUGUGACAUUUCAGCCACUGAUUAAUAACGUUUGCCUUUGUAUUUCAAGAUUUGAAAAAUAUAAUAACAAUGUCGUUGGACAGAUCUAACCAUUAAUGUCCCUUAAACGCUCAAAGACAGAUUCAAUGGCUGUAGCAUAGUAUUCGACUGAAUGAUUAGCUAGUAAAUGAGAAAUUAUGAAUAAUAAGCAUAAUUACACUUUCCAUCCUUACCUUGUCAGACCACUGUCUGUGCUGAUCGCCUGUCAGCGAGACAACGCUAGCUAGCCAAUGGGAGCGUAGUAGAACAAAAGAUGAGUUGACUAUGGCAAUUGAUACAGUAUCUGCACGGUUUGAUUAUUUAUUACUUACAUGAUUCUUACCUUGAUGUUUAAUUCCAUGCUGAAAUUUGUCUGAUUUGCAUACUAGUAACAGGAUUGAUAGUGAAAUGUCAAUAUUGAUUGUUGAAAUGCUUACCUGAUCCUUGUGGAUAUUUCAUUCUUAAUAAAAAAAUAAAAAUCUACAUCACAAUUGGUUUAAAUCUUCUUAGUACGCAUUCACCAUCACAUGUAAUUGAAAUUAUAUUGAGAAAUUCAUUUUCAUUAAUGUUAUUGAAAUUGUGAAAUUAUUCCAAUGUCUUAAGUACUGUUUUAUGAAAUUGAGCACAUUGAUAGAUAUUAAGUCAACUUUGAAUAAGACUAAUUUAAACUGUACAGCCUACCUGUGCUGUGGACAUCUGAAAGAUAAUGCUGUUAGGCUUAAAUAAUACAUGCAUGUCUAUUCAUUUGCAGUAAGUUGUAAAAAAUUUUUAGCUGUCACUCAAUUUACCAUAGGAUGUAAAAUAUGACCAAACUACAUUUGUAACUAGUACUUAUUCAUUUUCUGACUGGAUACUUUUUUACUCGAGUAGUUUCCAGUGAUGUAAAGUACUUACAUAGUACUUCAAUAAAAACUUUAAAGUACUAUUUA